UUCAACGGAGAGUUUGAUCCUGGCUCAGGACGAACGCUGGCGGCGUGCUUAACACAUGCAAGUCGAGCGGUAAGGCCUUUCGGGGUACACGAGCGGCGAACGGGUGAGUAACACGUGGGUGAUCUGCCCUGCACUUCGGGAUAAGCCUGGGAAACUGGGUCUAAUACCGGAUAUGACCUCCUAUCGCAUGGUGGGUGGUGGAAAGAUUUAUCGGUGCAGGAUGGGCCCGCGGCCUAUCAGCUUGUUGGU
rnacentral:rRNA from 1 species